rnacentral:rRNA from 1 species
UACGUAGGGAGCGAGCGUUGUCCGGAAUUACUGGGCGUAAAGAGCUCGUAGGUGGUUUGUCGCGUUGUUCGUGAAAACUCACAGCUUAACUGUGGGCGUGCGGGCGAUACGGGCAGACUGGAGUACUGCAGGGGAGACUGGAAUUCCUGGUGUAGCGGUGGAAUGCGCAGAUAUCAGGAGGAACACCGGUGGCGAAGGCGGGUCUCUGGGCAGUAACUGACGCUGAGGAGCGAAAGCGUGGGGAGCGAACAGG